rnacentral:rRNA from 1 species
AUGUACUUUUGCCGUGAAAGGAGGACCACGGCCGCGAAAAGAAGAAAGCAUUUCGUGCCGCACUCAAUCCUCGUCCAUCAAUUUCCAGUUGCCGCAAAGCCCUUCUCAUCCCGUCACCACAAAAACGACACGCCACGCAUGCACCAAGGCAGCUGGGUUAAGAAUCUAUCAGCCCAGCAACACUACACAGUCGUGUACGGUGCGCUGGCAGUUGGUUUUCCAUACCGCUGCACAUAUUUUCCCGACGGUUCACGCAUGCCAUGCGCUCUCGUUGCCUUCCCGGUCUGCGCACGGGCACGGCUUAGCGAGCCGGAGCGCGACGGCUGA